UCUGUCUUCACCACCCCCAUGCCCAUGUUUGCUAUCAGCUUGUGGGCAUAAGGCAGGAGCUGCUCAUCUGUCACUGAUUUGGGGAUCCCCCUGAGACGGAGGUUUUUUUCGCCGGUGCCUUGCCUCAAUUGUGGUCACCAAGCGUCUCAGUUGUUGCACUUGAGAGGUAAGUUGUUCUCGGUGGGUGUCCAUGGUUUUCUCUGACAGACUCAC